rnacentral:rRNA from 1 species
CUACGGGAGGCUGCAGUGGGGAAUUUUGCGCAAUGGGGGAAACCCUGACGCAGCAAUACCGCGUGAGUGAAGAAGGCCUUUGGGUCGUAAAGCUCUUUUCUUGGGGAAGAUAGUGACGGUACCCAAGGAAUAAGCACCGGCUAACUCCGUGCCAGCAGCCGCGGUAAUACGGAGGGUGCAAGCGUUGUUCGGAUUUACUGGGCGUAAAGGGAACGUAGGCGGCACAGCAAGUUAAGGGUGAAAUCCCGGGGCUCAACUCCGGAACUGCUCUUAAAACUGCUGAGCUAGAGAUAGUCAGAGGCGGGUGGAAUUCCAGGUGUAGAGGUGAAAUUCGUAGAUAUCUGGAGGAACACCGGUGGCGAAGGCGGCCCGCUGGGGCUAUUCUGACGCUAAGGUGCGAAAGCGUGGGGAGCAAACGGGAUUAGAUACCCCUGUAGUC